GUGGGGAAUAUUGGACAAUGGGGGGAACCCUGAUCCAGCCAUACCGCGUGUGUGAAGAAGGCCUUUUGGUUGUAAAGCACUUUAAGCGAGGAGGAGGCUACCGAGAUUAAUACUCUUGGAUAGUGGACGUUACUCGCAGAAUAAGCACCGGCUAACUCUGUGCCAGCAGCCGCGGUAAUACAGAGGGUGCAAGCGUUAAUCGGAUUUACUGGGCGUAAAGCGCGCGUAGGUGGCCAAUUAAGUCAAAUGUGAAAUCCCCGAGCUUAACUUGGGAAUUGCAUUCGAUACUGGUUGGCUAGAGUAUGGGAGAGGAUGGUAGAAUUCCAGGUGUAGCGGUGAAAUGCGUAGAGAUCUGGAGGAAUACCGAUGGCGAAGGCAGCCAUCUGGCCUAAUACUGACACUGAGGUGCGAAAGCAUGGGGAGCAAACAGGAUUAGAAACCCCUGUAGUCC
rnacentral:rRNA from 1 species